rnacentral:lncRNA from 1 species
AUGUCAACUCAAAUUUCACAGGCUUCUCUGCCAAGGUGUCAUUUGUCACCACGAGCCAUAGGAAGGUUGGAAAGUUUCUACUUAACCAGAUACCUUGCUGUCCCAGACGUAAUUAUGGCCCUGUUACCAAAGGAGAACUGGAGAAUAAAUAUUAAGGCAGAAAUGUGUAACAUACCUGAAAACUUUGAUGGGUACCAAAUAUUUACGGUAUGUAGGCAUUGAAUUUUAAUUUUAUUACUCAGGACAUUUUUUCCUUAUUAGAUUGUGCUUGCUGAGGAGGAAAAUACUAAUAUCGUGUGAAUGGCAUAGAUAAUUCUCAUCUACAUUAGUUGAUUCCUGUACUGUCUAAAAGCACACGAGGCAUAAUUCUUUUUCAUUUUUUGUUAAAUAAUUAUUGCAAAUAGGCUAUAAAUUCUCCAUCUUAAAAACAAAUAAACCCAGCCUUGACCCCAUGUCCCCUUCAGCAAUGAUACCCACUCUCAUUUCUCUGUUUCUAGUUACAGCAUAUUAUAGACAGAGUGGUUUAUACUUAUAAUUUUAUUUCUUUGCUUCCUUCUUUCUCCUAACCAGGUCUUCACCCCCUCACCCUGUUGACAUCUUAUUUUCAGUUUACACGGAUUUCUGUUUUACCAAACAGGUCCACAGUUUGUCUCCUGAUCACUUGAUCGAUCAGAAAGAUUUGACACAUCAUUCCUCUCCGGAAACACUUUAUUCUGUUGACUUCCUGGGAAUCCACUUCUCCUGGGUUUUCUCUUACUACACUGGCUCAUGUUUGUCAGUCUCAUGGGCCAUGUCCUUUGCCUUUCAGACCAAAUGUUAGGUCACCCUAGGUGUUAGUCAGUCUGAGAUCCCCCUUCCUUCUUUGUUACAUGGUCACUCUCUAGAUGAUCUUAUCUAAUCCCAUGACGUUAUACUAUACGUCUGUAUACUGAUAACACCCAAAUGUAUAUUUCUGGAGCUUCCCUCCUUUGAUUUGAAUAUUCAAACUGCGUGAUUUCUCCUUUUGGAAUUAGUAUUUACAGAAAAAAACUCUUUGCUUCCUUCCCACACUUGAUUUCUGAGUGUCUUCAAUUUGAUAAAUGGCACCACCAUUUGAUAAGGGACACCGAGUUUGAUAAAUGGCAUUGAUUCUGUUGUUCAGCUCAUUUCUUACUCUUCUAUUUCUUCCCACACCCUCCUCCAGACGGUGAGUAAAUUGUGCAGCUUCUCCCUCCAAACACAUCUGGAAUUUGAUGAUGCAGCACCUGCUUCAACCACUAUCCAUCUUUCUCCUGAACAGCUGUAAUU